GUGGUGGAGGAGGAGGAGGAGGAGGAGGAGGAACACUUCCCCCCUAGGGUGCAUGCGUGUACAGAGACCUUCCCGUCACUACAUAUCUAUCUGUCUGUCCAUCCUCUCCCUGUGAUUGGCAGUGAGGGAUAUCAGUGAUGUUGCUGGGAGUGCUGUGAAGCACGCCAGGUGUUUUUGCAUCCGUACCAUAACAUGGCUUGGAGCAUCGACCCAGAAUAACUUUAACUUUGUGCUCUCGUUGUGGAGGUUUGCAUCUUUGAAUGCGGGUGGUUUUUAAAAGUCAGUAUUCUCAAGUAUAUAUGAUGGUGAAAGCAGGUGCUAGGGGGUAUGUUGGCUAGUGGAUGGUGAAUGUUGUUGGUUCUUGGUUGGUUUGAGAAAUCUGGCAUUUGGAUGUUUUUUGUAAGUGUUUCGAUGGUAUUCAGGGUAUAUCCUUGGUUGAAGUGAAUGAGGAACUAAAGGUGAUGGAAAUCAAGAGCCUGGACCUAACUUAAAAUGGCUUUCAGUUGAAUGUGCUUGCCUUAUAUUUAAACGUGUGUCUGAGGGGGGGGGUACUGACAUGUUCAGGUGUCAUUUCAUAGUGGUGUCUCGCAGCUCCGCAGAAAGGUUAGAUCUCCAGAAGCAAGACUGAGCACCGCUGGGCUGCAUGGAGUAAACGCUUGAUCGGCAUGUUCUGGAGUAGCCAGGAGUGAUCCGAUCCGAAUGACCCAUGAUUGGCAUGUUCUGGAGUAGCCAGGAGUGAUCCGAUCCGAAUGACCCAUGAUUGGCAUGUUCUGGAGUAACCAGGAGUGAUCCGAUCCCAAUGACCCAUGAUUGGCAUGUUCUGGAGUAGCCAGGAGUGAUCCGAAUGCAACUGGUUUAAAGACUCGGAGACGUGGGCCUGUGUAGCUUAUCUCAGUUAGAGGACUGUAUUUAUUUAUGUUCCAGUGACCCCUUCCCCGUGACCCUCCCGUGACCCUCCCGUGACCCUGUAGGUUCGUCUCAGGAUGGAGAUGUGCUGGAUCCCCCCACGCAACAGGCCCCUAAGACAGUAAAGCUACGCUGAGAGCGAGUGAACGUACUCGUUCGAGUGUAAAGUGCAUUAUAUCGUCACAUGACCCCCGAUUGUGCUUGGUGUCAGGACCUCUCUACUCUACUGAUGAUUCUGCUGAUUCACACUCACACUGCCAAACAAAACCCUUCCUUUUAAUCCCUCGGGAUUAAUAAAGUAUCCAUCUAUCUAUCUUUUUAAAAUGGCUGAAUGCACAGCAUUUGAGUUUAUAUACUCAAACCUGGUCACAUCAGUGGUCCGGUAACUUUUCACGCAACUCUGAUGAAUAUUUGUUUCUCAAUGAUUAGUUUAAGGUGAUUGGAGGUCUGUUCUUUUUUUUUUUAUAUAUAUAUAAAAUUGUCGCUGAACUGCAUAAUCUGUUGCUACUAUCGCCAACCAGCGUUGGUUACAUCGUUGGUUGAUGAAGACCUAAUGUAAUAUGCUGAAGCCAGUAGCCUAGCGUAAACUGUUUCAAAUGGAUGUUCUUUGUGAAAGUGUGGAUUUCUUUGGGUACCUAGCCAUGUAAUAAACAGGGGAAAUAUACAGGCAUUCAGUCAUGAUUAAAAACAGCUUUCAGGGUGAUGCAAGACCCCUCCACUCUGCACGGGGAUCCUGACUUCCUGUAAUAUAUGAAGGAUAAUGACUACUGGGGUAUACUGAUAUACAGAGUAAUGGAUACUGAUAUACAGAGUAAUGGAAGAGGCUUAGAACUGACCAAUGCAAAGCUCAGAUGUAAAUGGCAAGAUCUUCUGUCCUCUAUCCAACAUUUUACAAUAUGCCUUAACGUUUGUUUUUUUCUUCUUCAUGAUCUACUGUUCAUCCUUAUAGUUGAGAUGACUGUACUCAGAAAUAUUCCUUACGCUAUGACAGAAUGAUUUAUUAACUUAAUAUUCAGAUUAGACUAAUUAAAGGUUACAUACAAUACUGUCAUAUUUAAUGCUUAGCUCCCAGUCUGACUGACUAUCACGGCACGUUCACAGUCUCUCUGCUCUCUGUAACUUCUCACAAUAAAACACUUUUAUUGAUAACCA